AAGGAAAAGAACAAAUUCUUUCUUUUGAAUAUUUCACGGGCUAAUUCAUUAGGUAGUUUUGAAUAGCCUAUCAUAUACAUUUUCUUUUUAUAUCCAUGUCUGUGUAUAUACUAUACUCCCUAGACCCCACUUAUGGGAUUACAUUGGUAUGUUGUCGUUUUUGGUGUCUAGGCCUCCUCUAAUACUUUUAAGUCGCUCUCUUUAGGAACUAGGAGUAGAAUUACAUUAGUGAUUAGGGUGAGCCAGUCACAGGACACUUGUGUUUCAUCUUAAUUGCUUCACAUUAAUGGAAAAAUAGAGCAGCAUUGAACUUGAGUUUAGAUUCCCAACUUUUCACAAAUUUACAGUUCCUACAGUUCCAUUCACAAAUUUAGUGCUUCGAGAGAGGUUACGAUGGAAGUAGAUGCUAAGAGUGCAUUUUCUGAAGAGCAGAGAGUUGACAAACUGGAAAUAAAGAUGGAAGGGAAAGUGGAUGCACAUGGCACAGAAACGGAUAGGACUACAGAUACCUCCAAUAUUGAUGGAGUUUCAGUACCUCCAAUUAAGAGAAGCACUGAAAUUGUUCUUGAUGAAAUGGUACAAUUUUCAUUGCUGAGUAUGGGUAGUGAUCAGAUGGAGAUAAAAUAUAUAUGUGAUUCUCUAGGCAUACGGGUCAUAGCAUACAGUCCUCUGGGUCUUGGUAUGCUGACCAGGAAAUAUACGCCCUCUAAUCUUCCACCUGGGCCAAGGGGACUACUCUUUAGACAAAUUCUGCCUGGAUUGGAGCCUCUACUUACCUCACUGGGAGAAAUAGCUCAACGACGUCGGAAAACAAUACCACAGGUAGCUAUCAACUGGUGUGUAUGCAAGGGUACAAUUCCUAUCCCUGGAGUCGUCUGUAAAACAAGCUGAAGAGAAUCUAGGAGCCCUUGGUUGACAACUCACUUCUGAUGAACUGCUCCAAUUAGAAUACGCAACACUUGAUUCUCCACAGAAGAUGAUCCAAAACGUAUUUCAGACAGAGUGAUAACAUCACAUAAUAAUAGAUACAUUUAGGAAGAUAUAAUUGGAGAAGGCAAUGAAAUCGAGUGAAAAAAUACAAAUAUACACAUUUGGAUCAUUUUCAUAGAUAAUUUGCUCUUUAAGAAGGCAUUUUCUCAAAUAUCUGCAAGGUAGCUUUGUGCACAGGCUAAGAGUGUAGGAUCACAACACAUAACAAUAUUCCCUCAACUGUCGUCUAAUGUUGCUAAGAACAGAACACAUGACCACCAAAGAAUCAACUGCAAACUUUGUUGAGAAGAUAAAAGAAUAAAAACAAAGCUCAUAAUCAUACCAAACUCCAAGCGAGCACUAAAUUCUUCUUAUAAAUGGAACUGGAAUUGAAACAAAUGUGUGUUGCAGUUAAACAGACAACAACAGAUCCACCAAAAUAUGAGCUAAGUAAAAGUUUGUUUUUUAAAUUAAUGAGUGAUAGUUUGGUUCCUAUAAAAAGAAAAAGAACAGGGAUGUAUUUAAGGCCUUUUCUCCCAAUUAACUCAAAUAUAUUUUACAAAAACAAUGGCCACGCCCCAGCUAUUUUCGUAGUCGCCGGUGGACCAGUCUCUUCAUUCUUAUAUGACAUGACAGAGUGCGCACUGCGCCUAGCCUCCUCUCCUCGCGCUCUCUAUGCUAACCUUCGCAUCUCACCUACUCGAUUCUUUCCUCUCCGCCGAUCUCUUCCGUUGACCUCUCCGUCCGUUGCUGGAAAAUCACUUUUUUCCUCCCACCCGAAUCGGAGAAACUCAGUGUUGAGAACAAAUUCCUCGAUAUCUCAGUUCAGAACAAAAGCAUCAAUGGCUGAGACAGUGACGGGGAAAAGUAGAGGGGAAGUGAAAGUGUUCGAUUCUGAAGAAGAGCUUGCUGUGUCUCUGGCGAAGUACACUGCCGAUUUAUCGGAGAAAUAUUGCAAAGAGAGAGACGCUUUUACUGUGGUUGUUUCUGGUGGUUCACUUAUCAAGUCUCUCAGGAAAUUGGUGGAGCCACCAUAUAUUGAUUCAAUAGACUGGUCCAAAUGACAUGUUUUCUGGGUGGAUGAGAGAGUGGUUCCAAAGGAUCAUCCUGACAGCAAUUAUUUGCUUGUUUAUGAUACUUUUCUAUCCAAGAUACCUAUUCCUGCUGGUCAUGUGUAUGCCAUAAAUGAUGCAUUAUCAGCAGAGGCUGCGGCUGAUGAUUAUGAGACUUGUCUAAGGCACUUAGUUAAGAGCAAGACUGUAGACAUCUCUAAUGAGAGUGGAUUGCCAAAAUUUGAUGUAAUGCUAUUGGGUAUGGGUCCAGACGGACAUGUUGCUUCCUUGUUUCCCGGGCAUCCUCUUGUCCAUGAGAAAGAGAAGUGGGUCACCUUCAUCAAGGACUCUCCAAAACCUCCGUCGGAUAGGAUUACAUUUACAUUUCCUGUGAUAAACGCAUCUGCAAAUAUCGCACUUGUAGUAGCAGGUGCUGGGAAGGCAGAUGUAGUGUAUAAAUCGCUAGGUGAUAAUAAGAGUUCUGAUUUGCUGCCUGUGCAGAUGGUUUCACCCGAAGGAGAAUUGGUUUGGUUUUUAGACAAGGCUGCAGCUUCAAAGCUGUAAGGA